rnacentral:rRNA from 1 species
CCUACGGGAGGCAGCAGUGGAGAAUAUUGCGCAAUGGGCGAAAGCCUGACGCAGCGACGCCGCGUGAGGGAUGAAGGUCUUCGGAUCGUAAACCUCUGUCAGCAGGGAAGAACGGUCACUGUGCUAAUCAGCAGUGAAUUGACGGUACCUGCAAAGGAAGCACCGGCUAACUCCGUGCCAGCAGCCGCGGUAAUACGGAGGGUGCGAGCGUUAAUCGGAAUUACUGGGCGUAAAGCGCUCGUAGGCGGUAUGUCAAGUCAAGGGUGAAAUCCCCGCGCUCAACGUGGGAACUGCCUUUGAAACUGGCAGACUGGAGUGUGUGAGAGGAUAGUGGAAUUCCAGGUGUAGGAGUGAAAUCCGUAGAUAUCUGGAGGAACAUCAGUGGCGAAGGCGACUAUCUGGCACAUAACUGACGCUGAGGAGCGAAAGCGUGGGUAGCAAACAGGAUUAGAUACCCGGGUAGUC